rnacentral:tRNA from 2 species
GGUCCCGUAGCUCAGCUGGAUAGAGCGGCGGCCUUCUAAGCCGUAGGUCACAGGUUCGAAUCCUGUCGGGAUCG